CUGGUGGAUUUUCCCUGUGUGAAAGACUGUGAAAGGAGCCUUCCCAGAGCUGCAGCCCAGCUUGGAAGCAAACCAGGGCGAGGCUCUGGGUGUUCCCAGGGUUUGUACUGCUGACAGCAAGAAGGUACAGCUGCAGGGACAGGGUGUGUGUCUCCAAGAGUGCUGGACAGCAAUUCCAGUGCCUGAGCUGACAGUAUGCAGUACUUACCCAUAAACUGACCACUAAAAGGCUGAUGAUCUCCUGCUGCAGCAGCAUCAGCUCCCCCUGCCAAGGAGCCCUCCCUGCCAGCCCUCCUCUCCUGGCCCACGCUGUACACCUGCAGCAAAACUGCACAAUCUGUGGCAGAUUUUGCCUCUUUUUCUCCCCCAGAACGGGGCUGCUGCUUGGCUUGCAUUGCAGCUCCCUGGGGAUCAGUGUUUUAGC